AGAGAGAGAAGUUAUCAAACGGGAAAAAGGGAGAAGAGUCGUUGCUGAUCAGGGGAAGAAAAAGGUGGCAGCGAAAAGAAAAAAAAGAGAAAGAGAAGAAAGAGAGGAAAAAGGGAAGAAAUGAUGCAACCAUAUGAAGAGAAAAGGGAGAGAGGACGAACAGGCCACGUAGAAGAAGAUGAAGAUGAUGAGGUGUAGGCCAUAAAGAGCGGUGUAAUCAAGAAGCCAUGGGUGGUCGAGAUCCAUCGUGUGAAGAAGAAUAAGAAGAAGAAGAUUAUGAUGAUGAUGAUGAUGAUGAUGAAGAGAAGCACGACGUGGUGGUCGGGGCCCGUGGGGUAUAACCAAUGGCAUUGUGCCU
rnacentral:lncRNA from 1 species